rnacentral:rRNA from 1 species
UGGGGAAUCUUGGACAAUGGGGGCAACCCUGAUCCAGCCAUGCCGCGUGAGUGAUGAAGGCCUUAGGGUCGUAAAGCUCUUUCGCCUGUGAAGAUAAUGACGGUAGCAGGUAAAGAAACCCCGGCUAACUCCGUGCCAGCAGCCGCGGUAAUACGGAGGGGGUUAGCGUUGUUCGGGAAUUACUGGGCGUAAAGCGCACGUAGGCGGACCAGAAAGUUGGGGGUGAAAUCCCGGGGGCUCAACCCCGGAACUGCCUCCAAAACUAUUGGUCUAGAGUUCGAGAGAGGUGAGUGGAAUUCCAAGUGUAGAGGUGAAAUUCGUAGAUAUUUGGAGGAACACCAGUGGCGAAAGGCGGCUCACUGGCUCGAUACUGACGCUGAGGUGCGAAAGUGUGGGGAGCAAAACAGGAUUAGAUACCCUGGUAGUCCACACCGUAAAACGAUGAAUGCCAGUCGUCGGGUAGCAUGCUAUUCGGUGACACACCUAACGGAUUAAGCAUUCCGCCUGGGGAGUAC